CUCUUCUUAGUCUCCCUAUUCUGCCGGGCCUUAUAAUAAACUUAUAAUCUUAUGUCUCAUGUCUCAGCAUUUCUCUUCCUUUUAAACAAAAGAAUAACAGGGAGCACAUUGAGUUUGUGAGAAGGUAGAAGCUUGGCACUGUAGAAGGAAUGUCAUCCAGGCUCUGCCAGCCCCACACCAGCCUCCUUGUCUCUCCAGAAUGCUAGGAGUCUGAGGGUACUCUGUAACAACCAUCAGAUAUUCCCAAUCCAUCUAAGACCCAUAACUAUCCACCUGUCUAGCCAGGCAGUCUUUAUUGAGUAUCUACUAAAUGACAGACUCUCAUUACAGAAGCACGUGCCUGCCAUCUAUGUGGGGGUGGGUGGGUAAACAUGUAAAAAGAAAAUCAUGGACAUGACCUCGUGUGACUAAGCAAUGCAUGACUGGCACAGAAUUUCUACCCGGUCAUUGAGGCCUUCCUGAAGUGUGGGGGAGGGACUGCCCCAGUGCCUUGGGAGUGAGUAAGGUUUGAAGCAUGGAGUAAGAGACCAGCAUGCAGCCUUGGCAUGAGUGGGGUGCUUGUGUGAGAAUACGGAAGUUACCAGGAUAAGGUCCUGGAGAGGUGAUUGGAAGUUGCCCAGCCGAGUCCCACUGAAGAGGCAGCACUCAGUUUCCUGUGCUCACUCAGAGCCUUGGUAUCUGGAUGUCACCAGUUCCCCUGUUGGGGCAAGAAACCUGCCCAGGUCACUUCUCUCUUUCUACUGAGACCUUUCAGUCACUCAGCUGGAGCUGGUGGAUAUGGAGGACUCCAGCCCUGGGAGUGUAAGUAUGUAAGGGGAGGACUCCUCCCACUUCCCCUCCUUAGCAGGUGAGGGUGUGACUGGAGAAAGGAAGACAAGAUAGAUUAGCACCCGGGGAAGACUGGCUGUGGCCUUCCUGCUGUUGGCUUGUACUGCAGUCUGGCCA
rnacentral:lncRNA from 1 species